rnacentral:rRNA from 1 species
UCCUACGGGAGGCAGCAGUGGGGAAUCUUCCACAAUGGACGAAAGUCUGAUGGAGCAACGCCGCGUGAGUGAAGAAGGUUUUCGGAUCGUAAAACUCUGUUGUUGGAGAAGGAUGUAUCUGAUAGUAACUGAUCAGGUAGUGACGGUAUCCAACCAGAAAGCCACGGCUAACUACGUGCCAGCAGCGCGGUAAUA